rnacentral:tRNA from 9 species
GGGGCCGUAGCUCAGCUGGGAGAGCGCUGCGUUCGCAAUGCAGAGGUCGGGAGUUCGAUCCUCCUCGGCUCCACCA